rnacentral:siRNA from 1 species
UGUAGAGCCUUACAACAGUGU